rnacentral:rRNA from 1 species
GAUGAACGCUAGCUACAGGCUUAACACAUGCAAGUCGAGGGGCAGCAUGACUGAAGCUUGCUUCAGUUGAUGGCGACCGGCGCACGGGUGCGUAACGCGUAUCGAAUCUGCCCGUUACUCGGGGAUAGCCUUGCGAAAGUAAGAUUAAUACCCGAUGUUGUCAUUAUGCCGCAUGACAUGAUGACCAAAGGUUUACCGGUAACGGAUGACGAUGCGUCUGAUUAGGUAGAUGGCGGGGUAACGGCCCACCAUGCCGACGAUCAGUAGGGGUUCUGAGAGGAAGGUCCCCCACAUUGGAACUGAGACACGGUCCAAACUCCCUAACGGGAGGCAGCAGUGAGGAAUAUUGGUCAAUGGACGAGAGCCUGAACCAGCCAAGUAGCGUGCGGGACGACGGCCCUAUGGGUUGUAAACUGCUUUUANAAGGAUAAGUGAGUCUACGUGAGACUUUUUGCAUGUACCUUAUGAAUAAGGACCGGCUAAUUCCGUGCCAG